CAUGCCGAACUCAGAAGUGAAACGCCGUAGCGCCGAUGGUAGUGUGGGGUUUCCCCAUGCGAGAGUAGGGAACUGCCAGGCA
rnacentral:rRNA from 1 species